rnacentral:lncRNA from 1 species
UCCUCAAAAGAAAAAUAAAUCUUUAAAGAUUAUAUACACUUAAUAAAAAUGAAUAGAGUAUAAUGAGCAUCUCAUUAGAGUAAAACCAAAAAGACGAUACUGCAACGCAGCUAUUAUCAAUUUCUCAACCUCAAUUCUACAUAAGAGAACUAAUCCACAACUACAAUUUCACACAUAAAUUUAGAAACAAUGUCAAACACGCGGCUCACUUCUAGUACACGUUUAUAUGAGAAAUUUCAAAGCAACAAAUGUCCAUCACGACUACAUCUGAAAAUUCAAGUACAGUAAUUUUCAGUAAAUUCUGCUGAUGAAUGCCAUGUAAAUACAAGAGCAAGUCUACACAGAACAGAAUGGUUACUCCUCUAACCCAAGUAAUUGAAUCAGAAUCCACAAGAUACUUUCCCUCGAGAGUGUCUACAGCUGAAGAUUCAAGAACCCUUCUAUCUACUCUUCAGUUUCCGCAAAUCUUCAUCAGCAUUUUAUUCCCUUCAAGUCGCCCAAACAUUUAUUUCCUUCAAAGACAUUUCUCCUAGUUUUCAUUUGAUUAACAUGCAGAUGUUUAAGAAUAACUAAACAAUAUUGCAUGCAAAACAAAGAUCUGAAAUCAGAUUUAAAUUAAAAAUAUCGGUGGCGUUUCCAAGAUCAAACGAUAUUGAAGAAACCAUAAGUCAGGAUGACCACAACAUAAAUAUAGCGUCCGAGCCAUUAUCCAGGAGGAACAUUAUAUCCGCCGGAAUUGGUAAUGGACGCAAAUCACUACAUACAAUUAAUCAUCAAACAUUACUCAGAAAUAAGAGUAAUAAACUAUGAUAAAGUACUAAUUCAAUCAUUUAUUAAAAUCAAAAUUAAUAUGUUUCUAAGUGCUCAGUGGAAGGAGAAGUCGUUUAAUUAUAAGCUCACGGCGUUACCUUGUGGCAACGUCCACUGCCCAAUAACACAAAUGUGUUUUAGUCACAUCACUGCACUCAAUCAAAAACAAAAAAUAUUCAAAAUUAAAAAUAACAAAUUGAAAUGAGAAAUUGAAAAAAAGGCUUCAGUGUGUGUAACAAUCAGAUCAUUGAUCGAAAUCUCACUGAAAUCCGCUAAGAUAAAGUAUAUUAUCAUCAUAAGCCCACAAUUUCUUUUCAGAAUAAAAAACAUUCAAAAAAAUACGAAAAUGAGAUAAACAUAUAACAGACAGAGAGAAGAAAUAAUUCUACAAAAGAGAGAAAUCCUAAAAUUGUAGGAUUUUGUAUGAUGUGCUCAGACAGCCAAGGGUUUGUAAUCAACUUCUGAGUUUUCUCAGAUCAGAAACUCUAGUCCACAAAUUGUAUCAUCACCGCACACACAAAAAAAAUCAAACUUUGAAUUGAAUUUGUUGCAAAAGAAAGAGACUAAAUCUAAAAGCAAAACAAAGCAGCUACAGAAAACCCAUUUGGAUGAAAUCUAACCUAUAAAAUACUAAAGAAACGAUUUUACUAUGAAUAUGAUUAAGCAAGGAAGGAUAUCAAAAAGAGGCGAUGUGAAUUUGCGAAGCGUUUGAUUUGAAUAUAUAGGCAGAGAAGGGUGAGAGUAUAAAUUAGGGUUUACAGGAUUUGUGUUUA